GCUUCCUUGGCUCAGUUGGUAGAGCGUUGGUCUCAUAGUCUAUAUGAGGAUGCAGUUACAUCCGUAAUCCAAAGGUCGAGAGUUCGAGCCUCUCAGGGAGCA
rnacentral:tRNA from 1 species